UGCCAGCCGCCGCGGUAAUACGAAGGGGGCAAGCGUUGUUCGGAAUCACUGGGCGUAAAGCGCACGUAGGCGGAUCGUUAAGUCAGGGGUGAAAUCCCGGGGCUCAACCUCGGAACUGCCUUUGAUACUGGCGAUCUUUGAGUCCGGGAGAGGUGAGUGGAAUUCCGAGUGUAGAGGUGAAAUUCGUAGAUAUUCGGAAGAACACCAGUGGCGAAGGCGGCUCACUGGCUCGGUACUGACGCUGAGGUGCGAAAGCGUGGGGAGCAAACAGGAUUAGAUA
rnacentral:rRNA from 1 species